GCCCGUCCUCUGGGCAGCGUCCCAGGAUGCCAGCUGGAGGAAAGGGUUGGGCCGUUCGCUGCUCACCCUCUGCUUGUGAUGAGCUGACGUGUGGACUCGGGCAAGUCCUCUUACGGCUCCGUAUCUCCUCUCCCUAGGCUGUAGCGUGGAACUGACCCUGGAGUGGCUGGAAUCAAACCCCAUGAUGGCGCCUCUGACCCAGCACUGCCUCACUAGGGACGAAAGGAACCAGGGCUUGGUGGGGCCUGGGUGGCCUCAGCAAGGAACCUUUGCCCUGUAAGAGCCAUGGACCCUCUCCCGGCUCCGAUUCUCUGCCCUGUCCCCGGCCCCAGGAGUCUGUGGCUUUCCUCCAAAUGGCUGGCCCUUGGCAUUCCGGUUGUCCAGACUGGAUGACUCCAGACCCCUUGGAAUAGCUCAGGCCUCCCCACGGCCCUGAUGUAGUCCCUAGCAAGGCACUUAUCAGGCUUCCCUGCCUUUUCCAGAUCCCUGCUCACCAGCCCAGAACCAGGCCUCGGUAUGACCCAUGGAGACCCAUGAGGUCUGCUGCCUCCCCCAGCCCUUCCCAAGAAAUCUCCUGUUGUAGUUGGAGCUCAGGAGUCACGCAAGCAGGGCUUUUUUGGGAUUCAAAGCUGGACAUUCUGGAAUGUAUGCUUCAGGAGGGCAGGAGCCCUGUACCGUCAGAGCCCAGCACUAGGCCUGGCCUGCAGUAGACCCUCAGGAACUACUAGUGAAUCGAGGCCAGCAGGGGCCUCAGGCUGCUUCACUUCCCCUUUCCCUCCUGCCCUGCCAGGCCAUGAGCUCUGGGAGAGCGGAGAUCAGCCAGGUUUACCUGAGUCCUCAGUGCCCAGCAAAGACCCUGGCACGUGAAGAGGGUCCACGGAUGUGCAGAGGAACCAAGACUGGGUGGAUGGAUGACUCUCCUCCUUGGCCCACGAUGGGAGACUUGGACAGAUGGGAGCGGUGUGACAUCCAUCCAGCUCGCCAGGCCAAACUGCGUUCCCAGCAUCUUUGGAGAAGGAAGCCAGCAUGAUGGCCCGGCAGCAGCUGCCACCUGCAACCUGAAGGUGGCCGAGUGUCCAGGCUGGGCCUUGGGGUUGUGGCUAGGCCUAGUCUUCUCCUGCCCAGCCCCUGGGCCGUCUGCCAGCUGCUUCAGGGCCAUCCCAAUCUCCCAUUCUGCUCACACAGUGCCAGAGCUCCAGGGAAAUAUCCAAGACACAGCAAAAAGCUUUAUUCUUUUUUUUUUUUUUUUUCUGGCUGUAAAAGUAAUUUCUGUUCAUUGCAGGAAAAAAAAUAGAAAAAUAUAAAAAAAAAGAGCACCCCAAAUUUCAAACUUCUGACUGUUUUUCUGCAUAUCCACAUAUAGGGGUAGAGAGUUUUUACAAGAAUGGAAUCCUAUGAUACUCAAUUUUUAAAAAUUGGAAUGAGUAUAUUUUUAAUUAAAAAAUUGAAUAAUUAAAUACUUUUAAAAAGUAUGUAAUUAUUUACUUAAUUCUGGCUGUGCUGGGUCUUCACUGCUGCUUGGGCUUUUCUCUAGUUCCGGAAAGCGGGCGCUUCUGUCAAGUUGCGUCGCACACGCUUCUCACUGUGGCGGCUUCUCUUGCCGCAGAGCAUGCGCUGUAGGGCGCACGGGCUUCAGUAGUUUUGACGUACAAGCUCAGUAAUCCUGGCGCACGGGCUUUGUUGCUCUGGCAUGUGGGAUCUUUCCGGACCAGGGACCAAACCUAUGUCUCCUGCAUUGGCAGGCAGAUUCUUUACCACUGAGACAGCAGGGAAGCCCUACUUUCCUUUCUAAAUCUUUUUUUUUUUUUUUUUAAUUAUUUAUUUAUCUGACCGCAUCAGAUUUUAGUUACGGCACGCGGGACCUUUCGUCCUGGCUCUCCGCUUCUCUGGUUGUGGUGCUUGGGCUUAGUUGCCCUGCAGCCUGUGGGAUCUGAGCUCUCCAAUCAGGGAUCAAACCUUCGUCCCCUGCACUGGACCACCAGAGAAGUCCCUUUUAAAUCUUUUUAUUGUAAAAUAUAACACAUAGAAAGACUACAUAAAAUGCUUGCUCAGCUCGGCAUAUUAUAAGGCAAACACCUUGGAACCUCUGCCCGGGUGAAGAACUCUUCCCUGCCCCGAGAAGUCCUCAGUGUGCCCCAUCUCAGUCAUGCUCCCUACCUCCCCCCAAAAAAGUUUCCACUAUCCAGAUUUUUAAGACGAUCACUUUCUUGCUUGUUGUCACUCAAGUGUGCAUCCCUAGAUGCUGUGCUGUGCUUAGUCGCUCAAGCGUGUCCGACUCUUUGUAACCCCAUGGACUGUAGCCCG
ensembl:lncRNA